AGCUUUUGACGACGUAGCUAUUGCACCCUCUGGUGGCCGAGUCUAAAAGUGUCGAUGUUAACGAGUUUAUAUCACGCACGCGCGCUCGAGCUCGCGCACGCCCACGCGGAGGGUGCACUGAGGACACGUUUUUUGCAUUUUUCCUUCACUUAACUUGUUGACUGCUGUGAGAAAUAAUAAUAAUUUUAAAAAAAUAUGAAUCUUUUUUUUUCUCUCCCAAUAAUACUCCAGCAGAGUGCCAAGGUUUCAAUCAACCAGUGUGCGCGGGUGUAAGGACAAUUUUUGCUGGAGGGCAAAAAGAUGGGCGCAACGGAAGUACCGGAAAACAUUUGGGCACUCACUUCCGGUUUCGGUUUCCGGAAAUUCAGCGUGGAGGAAAACUUCGCGACGGCGCCGCAUCGACACAAAAAGGGGCAAAAAGGGGAGCGAAACACGUCAUGGUGAGGCAUUCACAAACAGCGUCUCAAAUAGAAAAUACCCAACGUGGUCUUCGUCGUCGUCGUCCGCCGCUGCUGCGGGGGGCUGAUUGGUGUGGACAAGCCCCGCCCCCUUCUUCUCAGCCCCUCACUUUUUAU